rnacentral:tRNA from 1 species
GCAGGUGUGAUGUAAUCGGCAACAUGAGGCACUUGUAAUGCCUUCUUGCGAGUUCAACUCUCGCCAUCUGCU